rnacentral:rRNA from 1 species
UCGAGCGAACAGAGAAGGAGCUUGCUCCUUUGACGUUAGCGGCGGACGGGUGAGUAACACGUGGGCAACCUACCUUAUAGUUUGGGAUAACUCCGGGAAACCGGGGCUAAUACCGAAUAAUCUGUUUCACCUCAUGGUGAAAUAUUGAAAGACGGUUUCGGCUGUCGCUAUAGGAUGGGCCCGCGGCGCAUUAGCUAGUUGGUGAGGUAACGGCUCACCAAGGCGACGAUGCGUAGCCGACCUGAGAGGGUGAUCGGCCACACUGGGACUGAGACACGGCCCAGACUCCUACGGGAGGCAGCAGUAGGGAAUCUUCCACAAUGGGCGAAAGCCUGAUGGAGCAACGCCGCGUGAGUGAAGAAGGAUUUCGGUUCGUAAAACUCUGUUGUAAGGGAAGAACAAGUACAGUAGUAACUGGCUGUACCUUGACGGUACCUUAUUAGAAAGCCACGGCUAACUACGUGCCAGCAGCCGCGGUAAUACGUAGGUGGCAAGCGUUGUCCGGAAUUAUUGGGCGUAAAGCGCGCGCAGGUGGUUUCUUAAGUCUGAUGUGAAAGCCCACGGCUCAACCGUGGAGGGUCAUUGGAAACUGGGAGACUUGAGUGCAGAAGAGGAUAGUGGAAUUCCAAGUGUAGCGGUGAAAUGCGUAGAGAUUUGGAGGAACACCAGUGGCGAAUGCGACUAUCUGGUCUGUAACUGACACUGAGGCGCGAAAGCGUGGGGAGCAAACACGAUUAGAUACCCUGGUAGUCCACGCCGUAAACGAUGAGUGCUAAGUGUUAGGGGGUUUCCGCCCCUUAGUGCUGCAGCUAACGCAUUAAGCACUCCGCCUGGGGAGUACGGUCGCAAGACUGAAACUCAAAGGAAUUGACGGGGGCCCGCACAAGCGGUGGAGCAUGUGGUUUAAUUCGAAGCAACGCGAAGAACCUUACCAGGUCUUGACAUCCCGUUGACCACUGUAGAGAUAUGGUUUCCCCUUCGGGGGCAACGGUGACAGGUGGUGCAUGGUUGUCGUCAGCUCGUGUCGUGAGAUGUUGGGUUAAGUCCCGCAACGAGCGCAACCCUUGAUCUUAGUUGCCAUCAUUUAGUUGGGCACUCUAAGGUGACUGCCGGUGACAAACCGGAGGAAGGUGGGGAUGACGUCAAAUCAUCAUGCCCCUUAUGACCUGGGCUACACACGUGCUACAAUGGACGAUACAAACGGUUGCCAACUCGCGAGAGGGAGCUAAUCCGAUAAAGUCGUUCUCAGUUCGGAUUGUAGGCUGCAACUCGCCUACAUGAAGCCGGAAUCGCUAGUAAUCGCGGAUCAGCAUGCCGCGGG